rnacentral:tRNA from 1 species
GGGGAUUUGGCUCAGCGGUAGAGCGCUUGCCUAGCAAGCACAAGGCCCUGGGUUCGGUCCCCAGCUCUG